rnacentral:tRNA from 1 species
GGGAUAGCUCAGUUGGUUAGAGCGCCAGAUUGUGGCUCUGGAGGCCGUGGGUUCGAAUCCCAUUCUC